CAAAGGAUGGGCUCGGCCGGCUUCCCCAAAAAAAACAAUGGCUCAAGAGUUCUUUCCUGAUAUGGACACAAAACCUGGACGGGCAGGCGGCCAGACGCGCUCCAGCUCGGAGCUCCCUGGAGUUAAAGGUCUUUCGGUGUCAGCGAGGUUCUCCCCCCGGAGCAUAAUAUAGAACGUGAGCCAAGCAAAGCAGAAAAGCCGGACCCGCCCGAACCCACCUGUAGGCCGAGAGGACGUUGAGAGGCGGCGGGCGCUCGCAGGCCCGGUAGCUCUCCUGCAUGGGCACGGGCAGCGAGUGGCGCUCAAACAGCUGCUGGUCCUGGACGGUGGAGCUCCUGAAGGCCUUCCUCAUGGUGAUGUCCUGUAGCGACACUGAAGGGGGACACGCGACCUUCCGUCACCAGUCGACAUCGAGGAACGGACGACGACUCGGGCGGAGGGAGGCUCGCUCACGUUCUUCCUCUUUGGGGUCCAGCUGCGUGACGCUGAUGGAGAGGCGCUCCACGCGCUCCUGCAGAGAGUUGACCCGGAAGGUGAAGGAGUGCGCCUCGUCAAACAGCUGUCCAAACAGGUCUUCUGCGUAUUUGCCUGAAAAGCAGCAGCAGGAGGACGGACGGUGACAAAGAGCCGGCCGGCCGACUCAUCGGCGGUGUACCGACUGAGGCUGCUGAGCUGUCGGAUGACGCCGGCCAACGAGAUGUUGGUCACGCAUUCCAGCUCGUUGGCGAUGUUCCUCGGCAGCGCCGCGUGGCACAGGUGCCUGGGCUCGAUGGCGCGCUGCACCAGCGGCAUCCUCGCCUGGGGGGGGGAAGAACGUCACAACACGCGAGUAGGUAUGCACGGCUGUCUCUCCUCAACCAGCCCAGUGUCGGAAGCAAAGGACUCGAUCGAAAAGCCACGCUGAUGAAUGACAAAGGCCCGGCCGGCUUUCAAUAACAAGUGGCUGUACGCUCGCGCCGGGGAAAUUCUGUGAUCGCUAUUAGAAGGCAAGCUAAUUCCGGAGGGUACGACGAGAUGGACCACAAUUGAGGUUAGCCCGUCGGCGAGGCCCUGUUCCAGUUUCUCACGGAGCCUCAUCAGUGGCGUCGUCCUUGCGCCGGCGCCAUCUGUCCACUAGGUGGAGCUGAGGGCCCUCCAUUCAAAUCGCGGCCUCCUUUCUCAUCCCGGGUCGUGAUUUAAAGGACUACAGCUCAUUUGCCUUUUUUUUUUCUGCAGACGUUAAUGAUCAAGCGAGCCAUCAUCCAGGCACCGAAGUCCACAUUUGAGCCACAAUCCGGCUUCCCUGGCGGUGACCUUCGAGGCGGGCGGUCAAUGACAUUCACGCAUCUUGGCUGUCUUACGCGCCAGUGCAGUGUCACGGGACGCACACAUGCGUGGCGCAAAGACACAAACGAGACCUUCACAAAGUGCAAGAUGCGUCAGACGCAUGCGUUGCAGAGCGGCGCGUCUUACAUAAGAGUGCGCGCGGAGCGGAGCGAGCUGCAGGCAUGCAAACAAAAGCCAACUCGCGUCCUUUCCCCAGUUUCUUUACCAUUCGAUCACCGAAUGCAAGAGCAGCAGCUUCCAUCAAACGCUCCCAUUUUGCCUUUUUUUUUUACGUGUUUUACGACACUCAACGGGGAGGCGAGUGGCAAAGGACAAGCAGCGGAGAAACACACCAGGGACGACCCGUCCAAAUGGAGCCCGGUGUCCGACUGUCGGGCCAGCGGAGAGCAGGCACAGAAGGCGCCUUAUUGUGGAGCCGUGGGCCUUUGCCAAGAGGACCAACAAUAGGUCCUGUGUGAGUGCCUGGCAGCCCAACGGCUCACAGAUAGGCAGGCGCUGAGAUGGUCCAAAUGGCACGGAACGGGAAAGGGAGGGCAGGGCAGGGCAGGGUCUCUUCGCUAUGCAACUUUGACAAAUGCAUCAAAUUCCUUUUCACUAACACUUAUCCUGGGGCAACCAGAGAGAACGUCACCCAGUAGCGGAGCUACGCACGCACGCAUGCACGCACGCAGUGGCCAGGGGGCCGACGGAUUGGCCUCAUGUUUCAAAACCAAACUGCCUCAUUGGCCGUCUCGAUGCGGUCCUGCCGUUGUUGUGAAAAGCAACCCUAUGGCUGAGUCACGUGAGCGAGCGAGCGCAUUGGGUCAACAGCUGCAAUGGGGCCCGCCGUCCGUUUUUCACACAGGGGCUUUCUUUCACGGUGCCACUUUCCCAGAGCGCAGAGAACGCCGGUGUCACGUUAAAAGUACAACCCGGUCGGUGUCCAUUACAAGGGCUUGGAAGCGCCGUGACGCAAUCACAGUUCACACGAGAUGGAACAAAUUGCCCCCCAAGACGACCACGGUAGAGAUUCAAGCUCGGAACCUCACCUCACGACUGCAAAGCGUACAAUGUGUGGAUUUUUCCAUUUUUCAUAGCUACCCUGCAGCACGCGUACCAAAUGCCAUGCAUGCACUUAUUCACUUGAGGGAAUCCUCAAAGUUUGUGUUUGUGAUGACAUUCUGCCUGCACCUUUUCUGAACAAAUCGGUGGUAGGCUUGCUUGCCCCAUGCAAAACGCACAUGCUUCAAAUGGAGGUCAUUGCAUUUGCCACAAAGUGACACACGCUGUCUCUUUACAAAUGUUACUUUUGUUGAAAUGGUAGUUGUACCUGCACGCCAGUGACAGCUAGGCCACUAUGCCCCCAAGGUACCUCGUGCAUGAACGUAAUCUCAUCAUCAUCUCGAGGGCGAUUUCCACACUAAGCGACUGUGUGUGCGUGUGUUUACAGUGGCCGCUCCAGCGCCAGCAGUACAAAGAAGGUUUCAAAUGUCACCAAGCGUGAUCUUUUCUUCUUCUUUUUCCACUGUGCUAGGAGAAGCCUCCCCCAUCCCCCAUCUUAGGCUGGCUGCUCGCUCGACCCCAUCCGUCGUCUCCAGUGGGCAAAUGAAAUCAGCCAGCCCGGGCGUUUGCUCAAGCGGGGAGCCCCCACAUCCUGACAGGCACAUGUUAUAUGGGGUCAGCUCGGUGCUCUUAGCGGUAAAUAUUUGCUCUGCCACUAAUGUGAUGUUGCGCAGGGCCAACAUGUCAAGAGGCUGCUGCUGCUGCUGCUGCUGCUGCUUCCCAGAUGUGGAGCACGCUGCAAUGCAACCAGUUAACAUCAGCGCAAAAAUGAACUUGCCACAAUCACGCUGGCGGGCGCCUUUGUUUGUCUUUUUACGCUUCAAAUCGCAUUGAUGCACCUAUGUGGUAGGUAGAGUCGGUCCUAAAGUUACGACGGGCUGGCUGCAAACCGAAGACGCAUCCUAAAAUACUCCCCCUUUUUAUUUUUUCCGAUCCAUCCUCAUUUGGGGCUCGAGCAUGCCGCCGUGCGCAAGCAUUCGGAUCCCGCCCGGAUUUGUGUCCAUGACCGUCCGGCUCGUAUCAAAUGUGCUCCUUCGUGCAAGAAGAAGCGGAGGAGGGGGAGCCGGCCACUUUUCUUCCAAAGUGGAUUCCUUCGGCGUUGGACUGAGCGAAAUGGGCACCAAAGAGCGUCCGCCAAUCUAUUAUCAACACGAGUGCUAUUAAAACGUUACAUCCGAUUCGUACAAAUGCGCUUGACAAUAGUCCACGCCCAAAAACGGUGCACGAAGAGCAUUCAUUUGCAGGGGAAUGUCCCCGUGAAAAGUGACCACAGUGGUACGGGCCACUCUAUUGUUAGGACGCCGACCGUGGAUAAACCUGCGCUAGUAUCGACGCGUCACCAAUCGUUUUAUAAUGUGGUGCUUAUUUCAACAUAAAUGACUGUUUUAAUUCAUUGUCAUUUAUAAUAGACAAAAAUGUAUCAUAUUUGAUGUUGUGGUAAUAAUCCAUUUCAUACGGUGUAAUGUAGGCACUUCAAGAAUAAAAAGAAUAGUCCUACUUUUA